rnacentral:rRNA from 1 species
UACGUGGGGUGCAAGCGUUGUUCGGAAUUAUUGGGCGUAAAGAGCUCGUAGGCGGUCUGUCGCGUCUGCUGUGAAAAACUCGGGGCUUAACCCCGGGCCUGCAGUGGGUACGGGCAGACUAGAGUGCGGUAGGGGAGACUGGAAUUCCUGGUGUAGCGGUGAAAUGCGUAGAGAUCCGGAAGAACACCGGUGGCGAAGGCGGUCUGCUGGGCAGUUGCUGGACACUGAGGCGCGAAAGCCAGGG